rnacentral:rRNA from 1 species
UCGAGAAUCUUCCGCAAUGGACGCAAGUCUGACGGAGCGACGCCGCGUGAUCGAUGAAGUCUUUCGGGAUGUAAAGAUCUUUUAUCAGGGAGGACAUAGCGACGGUACCUGAUGAAUAAGGAGCUGCCAAUCUCGUGCCAGCAGCAGCGGUAAUACGAGAGCUCCAAGCGUUAUCCGGAAUUACUGGGCGUAAAGCGUAUGUAGGCGGCGAUGUUAGUCUCCCGUGAAAUCUCUCGGCUUAACCGGGAAGCUGCGGGGGAAACGGCAUCGCUUCGAAUCCGUAAGAGGUCUGCGGAACUCAUCAUGUAGGGGUGAAAUCCGUUGAUAUGAUGGGGAACACCAAAGGCGAAGGCAGCAGGCUGGUACGGUAUUGACGCUGAAAUACGAAAGCGUGGGUAGC